GUGUCAGCAGCCGCGGUAAUACAGAGGGUGCGAACGUUGCUCGGAAUUACUGGGCGUAAAGCGCAUGUAGGCGGGUCGGCAAGUCAGAUGUGAAAUCCCCGGGCUCAACCCGGGAACUGCAUCUGAAACUGCUGGUCUUGAGUACUGGAGAGGGUGGCGGAAUUCCUGGUGUAGAGGUGAAAUUCGUAGAUAUCAGGAGGAACACCGGUGGCGAAGGCGGCCACCUGGACAGUAACUGACGCUGAGAUGCGAAAGCGUGGGGAGCAAACAGGAUUAGAUACCCUGGUAGUCC
rnacentral:rRNA from 1 species